GGUCAAAUCAUCAUGCCCCUUAUACCCUGGGCUACACACGUGCUACAAUGGUCGGUACAAAGAGAAGCGAAACGGUGACGUCAAGCAAACCUCAUAAAGCCGAUCUCAGUUCGGAUUGUAGUCUGCAACUCGACUACAUGAAGAUGGAAUCGCUAGUAAUCGCGGAUCAGAAUGCCGCGGUGAAUACGUUCCCGGGUCUU
rnacentral:rRNA from 1 species